AAUAUUGAGUAUUUAAUUUAAUAUUCAGGAAAAAUCAUUGUUUAACUCGACAGUAUUUGUCGUUGUGCUCCAUCAUCUCUGGUGAGCGCUCCCAUGACUCCAAUCUCUAAUAUCUUUGAAACCUCCGACGGCUCCAUCGUCACUGGUGAGUUCUAGUCUGCCGAGUUAGUAGAUCGAGAUCGACAACAAUGACCAUUCUAAGGCCAUCAAUGUAUCUCGACCCGACAGUGCUCCUUACAAAGACAACAACGAUGGUGAUUCAAUUGGCAAUCACACAUAUGAACUUUCUGCUUACAAGGAGCGAUUCGUUCAUUUGGGGUGAGAUGAAGACCAAGUAUUUGAUCAUCAUCGACGGUGAAAACUUCAGAUGCGGAUCCUCUCGUGAACACGUUCCGGUUUGUCUUGAUGCUGAUGGAGCUAAAGCAGUGGUGGUUAAAUCUUACGCUAGAUUCUUUUUCAGAAAUUUUGGUUACAGGUGAUGAGUGUAGAACAGGGGAUGUUGCGAAACAUGAGUUGGGGAAGGUGAUAGUAUUCUUAUCAAUCACACAACUGGGAAAGAGUAUUUGUUGAUGCCUAUUGGUGAUGUUGGACUAGUCAUUGAUGUUGGAGGCAACAAUAAGUGAAUGGAGGAUAUUGAGUUUUAUGUUUCCCACAUACAUACAAAGAGAAGCUAUACCUACUUUGUUAAAAGGAUGUGCUUGCAUCAUCUAUGCUCAAGUCCUUUUUUUUUUUUAGAACAAAGUAGAGAGUUGAUGAUGAAGAUGAGAAAAUAGGCACUUGAGUGGAAGUUUGAGUUCAUGUCAUUAUGGAGGACCUUCCUAAAAUUCAAAAAUGCCUUUCUAAAAGCUACAUAAUCCUUCCUCAAUUUUUGUUAAAUAAGUUUUUAAUCUCUGUAUAUGUUUUUUGCUUUAUUGUAUCACAUAUUACUCCAUUAGUAGUGAUGUAUAAUGAUUUGAUUUUGUGCAUAUAUAUGUGUUUUACAAUAAAGGUAGCAAACAUGAAUAUUCAGCAUGAUGUUUUAUUUUA